rnacentral:rRNA from 1 species
UGAGUACGAGAUGCUACGGCAUCGAAGCAGUCUAUGUCAUACUUCCAAGAAAAGCUUGCACUGUCAUAAACAAAGAAUGCCUGUACCAUAACCGACACAGGUGGGUAGGUAGAGUAUACUAAGGGGCGCGAGAUAACUCUCUCUAAGGAACUCGGCAAAAUGACUCCGUAACUUCGGGAGAAGGAGUGCCUUAUUUCUAAGGUUGCAAUAACAAGAUCCAAGCAACUGUUUACCAAAAACACAGGUCUCCGCUAAGUCGUAAGACGAUGUAUGGGGGCUGACGCCUGCCCAGUGCCAGAAGGUUAAAGAAGUUGGUUAGCAUUAGCGAAGCUGAUAACUGAAGCCCUGGUGAACGGCGGCCGUAACAAUAACGGUCCUAAGGUAGCGAAAUUCCUUGUCGGGUAAGUUCCGACCCGCACGAAAGGCGUAAUGAUUUGGAUACUGUCUCGGAGAGGGGCUCGGUGAAAUAGACUUGUCUGUGAAGAUGCGGACUACCUGCACCUGGACAGAAAGACCCUAUGAAGCUUUACUGUAACUUGAGAUUGAAAUUGGACUUUAUUUGCGCAGUAUAGGUGGGAGGCGUUGAGAAUAAUCUUGCGGGAUUGUUGGAGCCAUCAGUGAGAUACCACUCUUGUAAUGUUAGAUUUCUAACUUUGUAUCAUUAUCUGGUCAAAGAACAGUUUCAGGCGGGCAGUUUGACUGGGGCGGUCGCCUCCCAAAGGGUAACGGAGGCGCACAAAGGUUUCCUCUGAACGGGUAGAAAUCGUAUCUAGAGUGUAAAGGCAUAAGGAAGCUUGACUGUGAGACCUACAAGUCGAGCAGGGACGAAAGUCGGUCUUAGUGAUCUGACGGUGCUGAGUGGAAAGGCCGUCACUCAACGGAUAAAAGUUACUCUAGGAUAACAGGCUGAUCUCCCCCAAGAGUUCACAUCGACGGGGAGGUUUGGCACCUCGAUGUCGGCUCAUCGCAUCCUGGGGCGGUAGUCCGUCCCAAGGGUUGGGCUGUUCGCCCAUGAAAGCGGUACGCGAGCUGGGUUCAGAACGUCGUGAGACAGUUCGGUCCAUAUCCGGUGUAGGCGUUAGAAUAUUGAGAGGAGCCUUCUCUAGUACGAGAGGACCGAGAAGGACAUACCUCUGGUGUACCAGUUAUCGUGCCAACGGUAAACGCUGGGUAGCUAUGUAUGGAGUGGAUAACCGCUGAAAGCAUCUAAGUGGGAAGCCCACCUCAAGAUAAGUAUUCU